CCUACGGGUGGCAGCAGUGAGGAAUAUUGGUCAAUGGACGAGAGUCUGAACCAGCCAAGUAGCGUGAAGGAUGACUGCCCUACGGGUUGUAAACCUCUUUUAUAUGGGAAUAAAAUGUUUCACGUGUGGGAUUUUGUAUGUACCCUAUGAAUAAGGAUCGGCUAACUCCGUGCCAGCAGCCGCGGUAAUACGGAGGAUCCGAGCGUUAUCCGGAUUUAUUGGGUUUAAAGGGAGCGUAGGUGGAUGGUUAAGUCAGGUGUGAAAGUUUGCGGCUCAACCGUAGAAUUGCCGUUGAAACUGGAAGUCUUGAGUGCAGUAGAGGUGGGCGGAAUUCGUGGUGUAGCGGUGAAAUGCUUAGAUAUCACGAAGAACUCCGAUUGCGAAGGCAGCUCACUGGAGUGCAACUGACGCUGAGGCACGAAAGUGUGGGUAUCGAACAGGAUUAGAUACCCGAGUAGUC
rnacentral:rRNA from 1 species